UACGAAGGGGGCUAGCGUUGUUCGGAAUCACUGGGCGUAAAGGGCGCGUAGGCGGCUUUUCAAGUCGGGGGUGAAAGCCUGUGGCUCAACCACGGAAUUGCCUUCGAUACUGUUAGGCUUGAGACCGGAAGAGGUGAGUGGAACUGCGAGUGUAGAGGUGAAAUUCGUAGAUAUUCGCAAGAACACCAGUGGCGAAGGCGGCUCACUGGUCCGGUUCUGACGCUGAGGCGCGAAAGCGUGGGGAGCAAACAGG
rnacentral:rRNA from 1 species